ACCUACGGGGGGCAGCAGUGGGGAAUAUUGCACAAUGGGGGAACCCUGAUGCAGCGACGCCGCGUGAGUGAAGAAGUAUUUCGGUAUGUAAAGCUCUGUCAGCAGGGAAGAAGAAAGACGGUACCUGACCAAGAAGCCCCGGCUAACUACGUGCCAGCAGCCGCGGUAAUACGUAGGUGGCAAGCGUUGUCCGGAUUUACUGGGUGUAAAGGGCGUGUAGCCGGGUUGACAAGUCAGAUGUGAAAUCCUGCGGCUUAACCGCAGAACUGCAUUUGAAACUGUUGAUCUUGAGUACUGGAGAGGCA
rnacentral:rRNA from 1 species